rnacentral:lncRNA from 1 species
AACAAUUGCAAAAACACCCCUGCCCGAAAACUGCUCGCGCUGCACUGUGUACCGGUACACGGGCUCGCGUACCGGUACAACACCUGCGAAACAGCCAAACCCGAGCCUCGGGUUUGCACGAAAUCCGUCUGUAUACCGCUACACCAGCCCCAUACCGGUACAGCCAUCAGCGCGUACCGGUACAGCCAUCAACCCUGUACCGGUACACAGCCCUGCUGA